GGAAGUGUGGCUCAAUGAAAGAGCACAUGGUUUGUACUCAGAAAGUCCCAAGUUCCAUCCUUGGCACCGCCA